rnacentral:tRNA from 1 species
UCCCUGGUGGUCUAGCAGUUAAGGAUCUAGCUUUGUCACUGCUGUGGCUCAGGUUCAAUCCCUGACCUGAGAA